UACGGGGGGAGCAAGCGUUGUUCGGAUUUACUGGGCGUAAAGGGCGCGUAGGCGGUCAGCACAAGUCAGUUGUGAAAUCUCCGGGCUUAACUCGGAAAGGUCAACCGAUACUGUGCGACUAGAGUGCAGAAGGGGCAACUGGAAUUCUCGGUGUAGCGGUGAAAUGCGUAGAUAUCGAGAGGAACACCUGCGGCGAAGGCGGGUAGCUGGGCCGACACUGACGCUGAUGCGCGAAAGCCAGGGGAGCGAACGGG
rnacentral:rRNA from 1 species